rnacentral:tRNA from 1 species
GAAGCCUUAGUUUAGUUAAAACGUUGGAUUGUCAGAUCAAAAAUGGGGAAGAAAAAUCCCUAGGCUUUG